rnacentral:miRNA from 1 species
UAUGUUUAUUUCUUUUUUGAACAGUGUUUCAUUAUGCAGUUCAGAUUGGCCUUGAACUCACUAUGUAGCCCAAGCUAGCCUCAAACUGAUGGCAAUCCUCCUGCCUCAGCCUC